rnacentral:misc_RNA from 1 species
GUUACAUGCCAUUAUUUGGCAACCAGUUGAGGUAUAUUGUGACAAUAUUUUGAGUAACGUAUUUAGCCAAAAAUCCGAUCAACAUGCCCACAUUAAACAUUUAGAGAUUGACUUCUUGUUCAUGAACAAGUCCUUUGUGGUGACAUUCUCAUUCAGUUUGAUCCUGUCAAUGCAGAACUAGCUAAUAUUUUUACAAUAGGUCUGUUGAUGAUGUUAGACAUAGCCGUGUUUCAAACUUUGCAUUCUACCCCACGCUUAGCUUGCCAAUGCUAGGCUGCUGGCCUUGG